CCGUUCCUUUUUGUUUUUGGUGGGGAAGGUGCUCGAAGCCUCUUCCAUUUUCUUCUGUCGGUCUCCCUGCGUCAACCCUUCGUGGUUCCCUGCUUCUCUCUCUCCGUCGAUUGUGUGUCGUGUGAAGAGUUUCUUUUUCCGGCUGAUUGCACUGUUUCAGGAAAAUUGGUGUGCGAAUUUUAGGGUUUUUGUGUACAACCUUGCAAACCCCUUCUGAUUAAGGUGGCGGUGUUUGCUUGGUUUUGUGCUCUGGUCUUAGAAAUUGUAUGGUUGUUUUUUUGGUGGUUUCGUGCUAUCUUGAACUCCAAGUGGAAAGCCCAAGGAGCAGAAAAUGGACAAUCACAAUUAUUAUUGGUUUUAUAUUUAAUUUUUAACUCAGUUUAAUAAUUAAUUUUGUCCACCAAUUAAUUUGAAUUAUGUGGUGAAAUGAUCAUAUCUAAUUAAGUUUAUUAGGUUGCUAUUUCUUUUUUGGGGAUGUGUUUUAGCAGGUGGAUUGGAUUUCAAGUAUUUUUUAGGGUGGGUAAAAAGGUUGAGCGGAGGCAAGAACAUUCCUAAGGUAAAGUUCCUUUGCUCUUCUCCGUCUUUUAAAACGAAGCCUUUAGGCACACAACUUUGUUUUCCCAAGUAUUUUUUAUGUGUUGUUGUCAAGAGUCGAUCAGUUUUUAGGCACACAAGUAAUCCAAUGGAUUAGAAUUUGACGAAAUUACACUGAUUCAGAUGGUAUUGAUCAAAUGAAUGAGUUAGAAACUAAAAAUUACAAUAGUUUCAUGAAAACUACAUUAGUUUCUUACUGCUUUUAUUACUGAACAUAUUUUCUGUAUAUGUAAUGCUUUAUUUUCGAGGUUAUUCUCUCAACACCUUGUGAAUUGUCACAUCCGGUCCGGACUCCCACCACAUCCUGGGCUCGACUCUGUCAUAGCAUGAUAUUGUUCGUUUUGGGUCUCGACCACGUCCUCACAGUUUUGUUUUCGGGAACUCACACAAGAACUUCCUAAUGGGUCACCCAUCAUGGGAUUGCUCUUGCGCGAACUCGCUUAACUUCGGAAUUCCGAUGAAACCUGAAAAAGUGCGAUAUUCAUUGAAUACUGAAAAGAAAAACGUACAAAUAAGGAUAGGGUGCAUAAUAUUGGGCCUCAAUAAAAAUCCUGCCGGAGAUUUCAACCUGAUCGAAGGGAAAAAAAGUGUUCCGCACCAACUAAUUAAUAAGACUAUCGUCGAAUAAGAGUUUAGAGAUUACAUCAUGAGGCUCUUCAAACCAAGAAAUAGGAUGGUCAACAGUCAGACCCAGGAUGGUCAACAGUCAGACCCAUUCGCGCCAGAUGAAAUAACCAAUAAUGCAUCAUCCUCAGUGGCGGAUCCACAGUGGGGUCAAAGGGGUCGCACGACCCCUUGGAAGCCAUGGAAACAACCUUAGAGAUCCAUUGGAGCUACUGGUGCAAUCCCUUGGAGUUGCUGGUGAGACCUCUUGGCUGCACACCAAGUGUUCGACGAAAGUACACUGACCUUGCUAAGGCAGACCGUUCUUUAAUAUUAGAGCAUUUUCGGCAAGCAACAAUGAGAUGGAACCCAGAAGUGAGUGCUCAAUCAGCAGUUGAUAAUAAGUCUGUGAAAGAUGAACAAAAAUCUCAUAUGAUAGUUGCAACAGAUGCAUGCCUUCCGCUGCUUCCUUCUGGGGAAUCACCUAUAGCUGCCCGUGUUCUUAUAAAUUAUGAGUUACCGACAAAGAAGUUGUAUACAUGGGACUGCAUGUGGUUUUGCUACCUUAUGCAUUACAUACUGCGUCCCUUCUAUUUUCUCAUGUAUAUAUGCUUCCUUCCUUACAAUCCUCUGUGCAGGAAACAUAUACAAGCCGUAUGACAACUUGUUUGGCUGCAGAUGGGAUUGUAAUCAACAUGGUCGUCGGGGGUGAGGUAGUAACUCUCAAAAGUCUUGAAGAAAGCAGCAACCUGGUCAUAGCUGAGAUGCCCAUACAUCUUAUAAAUAUGUCCAAUGCCAAUUUAUUUUCAAAACUUCCAUUUUACAAAACGCAAGCAUUAUGGAGGGAAGGAACUUGAGAUGGAGCUUACAGGCACGCCCUACCAAGAAAAAUAAGAGGUGUCCAAAAUUAACUUGACCUAUGGUUGAAGAUCUUAGCAAUGGACGGUCUUUGGAGAUUCUCAUUAAUCGCUUCAGAAAUUAGUGCCCGAAUCCCGAUUCAAAUUGGCUAGAUAGCUUUCUUUGUCGGUUUUAGUUGAUUGUUCAGAUUUUCCUUUUUUUUUUCUCAGCAACCAAACAUGUGCCACUGAGUUCUCAAGUUUAUGAUUCACUACUUAUUAAUACAUUAUUACUACGUUUUAAUUUUUAAGUAAUCGAAAUUGUUAUGCUCUGAGCAACUACUGUAUCUUCAACUCACCAAAAUGGCAAGAGAUUCUCACCUUUCGAAGCGCAAGCCAUGUGCGUUGAUUAGGUUUCAUGACUAAUACUACAAGUUCUUCUUCAAGAUCAGCAUACGCACAUUUGCAAAUACCAAGAUCAUUAUUUAUCUAUGCUGAAACAAAGCAAACGCAU